GAGCCCAAAUUAAACAGCCCACACCUAUCUCCUCUCUCAUUUCACAAUACCAGAGCCAUCUUUUCUCACUCUCUCUCCUCAACAUAACCCUAAACCCCAAAAUAAUUCAUCAUCUCCUCUUCUCUUCACCGUCAUCUCUCUCCUCAUCUCCUGCUCGCUUCACCAGCAACACCAUCAGUACCGUCGUCUCUCUUUUCAUCUCCUCCUCUCUUCACCAGCAACGCCAUAAGCGAACCUCAAGAACUCAGUGAGGCGAUUUCAAUUGAUGCGAUUUCGUUUCAUUUUUCUGCCAUCAGAUCAUAGUGUCAGAAACUUGAAGCAAUCCUACUCAGAUAUACUGUGGUUAGGUGCUGCAUGGACUUGUGGAAAGCAGCUAAAACACUACCAUGCGUCUUGCAGGAAUGGCACUACGAUUGCAGAUUGACAAGUUUCUGGAGGUUGUAGAUGGUCAUUGUGGAUGAAGCAAAUGGGAUUGAGCUGAAGAAGUACUGCACAUUCUAUUUCUUUUGUUCUCCUUUGUAUUUAACCAAUAACUUUCAAUUUGGUUCUGAUUUUGAUCUUUGCUGCGAUGCUUACUUUUAUAAUAAUAACUAUCAAUCCACAGUUACUUUGAAUCUGUGCUUUUGACCCAUUGCCCAUGAAAUUCUGUAUUGCAUCAAUACUUGAAUAUAGCAGAGAUCUCUGCUACAGUUGGAAAUAAAGUACUCUGAUUGUUGUUUUUUUGA